rnacentral:rRNA from 1 species
GUCCAGACUCCUACGGGAGGCAGCAGUGGGGAAUAUUGCACAAUGGGGGAAACCCUGAUGCAGCGACGCCGCGUGAGUGAAGAAGUAUUUCGGUACGUAAAGCUCUAUCAGCAGGGAAGAAAAUGACGGUACCUGACCAAGAAGCCCCGGCUAACUACGUGCCAGCAGCCGCGGUAAUACGUAGGGGGCAAGCGUUAUCCGGAUUUACUGGGUGUAAAGGGAGCGUAGGCGGUCCGGAAAGUCAGCGGUAAAAGCCCGGGGCACAACCCGGGCGAGCCGUUGAAACUGUCGGACUAGAGACGGCGAGAAGUACGCGGAAUGCGCGGUGUAGCGGUGAAAUGCAUAGAUAUCGCGCAGAACUCCGAUUGCGAAGGCAGCGUACCGGCGCCGGACUGACGCUGAGGCACGAAAGCGUGGGUAUCGAACAGGAUUAGAUACCCCUGUA